rnacentral:rRNA from 1 species
GACGAACGCGGCGGCGUGCCUAAUACAUGCAAGUCGAGCGAAGUUUUUCUGGUGCUUGCACUAGAAAAACUUAGCGGCGAACGGGUGAGUAACACGUAAAGAACCUGCCUCAUAGACUGGGACAACUAUUGGAAACGAUAGCUAAUACCGGAUAACAGUAUUUCUCGCAUGAGAGAUAUUUAAAAGUUGGUUAUGCUAACACUAUGAGAUGGCUUUGCGGUGCAUUAGCUAGUUGGUGGGGUAAAGGCCUACCAAGGCGACGAUGCAUAGCCGACCUGAGAGGGUGAUCGGCCACACUGGGACUGAGACACGGCCCAGACUCCUACGGGAGGCAGCAGUAGGGAAUCUUCCGCAAUGGGCGAAAGCCUGACGGAGCAACGCCGCGUGAGUGAAGAAGGAUUUCGGUUCGUAAAGCUCUGUUGUUAGGGAAGAAUGGAUAUGUAGUAACUAUACAUAUAAGAGACGGUACCUAAACCAGAA